UUCAAAGCUGUUAUACGCAUUUAUCUCCACUCCUUGCUUGAACCCAAAGCGCCGCUCAUACCCUUUGGGUUUUGGCCUUCACAAUGGAUGCAGCGACCCAAGACAUGAGACAGCGACGACGUCGGACGAGGCAUCUCCGAUGGAUGGCGAGUAUAGGAGGAAAGAUAAGCACUUGAAUAAGGUUGAUGCUGCAGAUGAUGGAGAUGUGCGCGCAUCUGCCUAGUGUUGCCCUCAAAGGGAUGGGGGACGAAUCAGAGGAGCAAUUGAAGGUUCUGCAGCAGCAUGCGACUGAGCUGGAGGCGGAAGCCGUCGCCUUAGGAGGCAUUGGAGAGGGAGAAGAGUAUGCUGGAAGAGGAUGUGAGCAAGUUCCAUGAGAUGAUUGAGAAUCUCGACAAUAAUGUGAAGAAAGUGCAGAAAUUUUUGUUGGGAAAGAGAAGGCAUUGGAGGCCAAGAGGGAAGAGAAGAAGAGGAUUUUACAGGAGAAUGAGGAGUUGAAGAAGAGAGCCUAAUCGCGGUGUUUUAACAAGAGGGAUGUGGAGAGAAUGAAGAGGGAAUUGCAGGCUGUGGAGAAGAAGGUUUAGGAUUUGGAUAACAAGCUUGGCCCACAGGUUAAGGAGUUGUUGGAGGCUUUAGCCAUGGAGUGCAACCAAAUCAUGACGAGAGCAUAGGCGUGUUGCACAUAUUUUACUUCACUCAGUAAGAGGAGCCACAUAAUACUCCCACAGGUGAUCAGAGAAGUUCGCCAAGAGACAUAAAUUCAAAGUGUUAGAAGGCAACUCAGGAUGGAACGAAGGGCACCCAGGAUGAAAUAAUGGCUGUUAUGAUUUAUGAAGGUUGCCUUGGAUUUUACUUUUUGGCCACAAGAGUGAUCAUUGACAAAAACAAUUUAUCUUAAUUAUAAAUUUUCAUAUAUUUUUUUUUUGGUUAAAAUAUUGGCCGUUACCUUUGUUCAAGUUGAUGUGUAUCUAUUAAAAUAAUAUUUGAAUGAAGUCACCAAUUGCACAUCUGAUUUUGC